rnacentral:rRNA from 1 species
GACGGAGGGUGCUAGCGUUGUUCGGAAUGACUGGGCGUAAAGGGCGCGUAGGCGGCUCGUGAAGUCGGGUGUGAAAGCCCGGGGCUCAACCCCGGAACGGCAUCCGAUACUGGCGGGCUUGAGACCGGGAGAGGAGGGUGGAAUACCCAGUGUAGAGGUGAAAUUCGUAGAUAUUGGGUGGAACACCGGUGGCGAAGGCGCUCUGCUAGGCCGCAACUGACACUGAGGGACGAAAGCUAGGGGAGCGAAUGGG